GCCGUUAAACACCCAACUUCUGAAAUGUUGACCUCGGAUCAGGUAGGAAUACCCG
rnacentral:rRNA from 1 species